CCUACGGGUGGCAGCAGUCGAGAAUCAUUCACAAUGGGGGAAACCCUGAUGGUGCGACGCCGCGUGGGGGAAUGAAGGUCUUCGGAUUGUAAACCCCUGUCAUGUGGGAGCAAAUUAAAAAGAUAGUACCACAAGAGGAAGAGACGGCCAACUCUGUGCCAGCAGCCGCGGUAAUACAGAGGUCUCAAGCGGUGUUCGGAAUCACUGGGCGUAAAGCGUGCGUAGGCUGUUUUGUAAUUCGUGUGGGAAAGGCGCGGGCUUAACCCGCGUACGGCACAUGAUACUACGAGACUAGAGUAAGGGAGGGGGAACCGGAAUGCUAGGUGUAGCAGUGAAAUGCGUAGAUAUAGAGAGGAACACUCGUGGCGAAGGCGGGUUCCUGGACAUUAACUGACGCUGAGGCACGAAGGCCAGGGGAGCGAAAGGGAUUAGAUACCCGGGUAGUC
rnacentral:rRNA from 1 species